rnacentral:rRNA from 1 species
GAUGAACGCUGGCGGCGUGCCUAAUACAUGCAAGUCGAGCGAACGGACGAGAAGCUUGCUUCUCUGAUGUUAGCGGCGGACGGGUGAGUAACACGUGGAUAACCUACCUAUAAGACUGGGAUAACUUCGGGAAACCGUAGCUAAUACCGGAUAAUAUUUUGAACCGCAUGGUUCAAAAGUGAAAGACGGUCUUGCUGUCACUUAUAGAUGGAUCCGCGCUGCAUUAGCUAGUUGGUAAGGUAACGGCUUACCAAGGCAACGAUGCAUAGCCGACCUGAGAGGGUGAUAGGCCACCCUGGAACUGAGACACGGUCCAGACUCCUACGGGAGGGAGCAGUAGGGAAUCUUCCGCAAUGGGCGAAAGCCUGACGGAGCAACGCCGCGUGAGUGAUGAAGGUCUUCGGAUCGUAAAACUCUGUUAUUAGGGAAGAACAUAUGUGUAAGUAACUGUGCACAUCUUGACGGUACCUAAUCAGAAAGCCACGGCUAACUACGUG